rnacentral:rRNA from 1 species
UCGUUAUAUUAAUAGGUAGUUUAAAAAACCAACAUAUGAUGGCGGUUUUUAUAAUCUAGAGAAACUCGCUUUUUAAUCGAAAAUACACGUUAAUUUUUACUUAGUAAAUAAUAAAGCUUAUAUACCGCCGUUUAUAUAUAAUUACAAUAUUAAUAUUUUAAAAUUUAAAAAUUAAUAAUCAGGUCAAGGUGUAGCCUAUAAUUAAGAAAAGGUAAGUUACAUUAAAAAUAAUUUAAGAAUAUAAAAUUAAAAUUAAAUUGAAAAAGAAUUUAGAAGUACAAUUAAAUCAAAAUUUUAAUUUGAAUAUCUUUAUAAAAACGC